AAAGAGUUCACAUAUAAAAAUGAUAAAUGAAAACUAAUAUCUUUUAGUCUCAAUAACAUUAUUAUAGGAAAAUGACUUCACAAUCUCACUGCUAGUUCAAAAACCCUAAUUUCUCUUUACUUCGAGCAACGCGAACCCCCAUGUCCAAACUCGAGAUCUCAAAAUGAAGUUCAACAUUGCAAAUCCCACCACUAGAUGCCAUAAGAAGCUGGAAAUCGAUGAUGACCUGAAGAUGUCACUCAAAGAAUGCACCCACCACUAGAAGUUAUUCAUUAAAAGGCAACUAUAGCACCUCCUAUAAAGGGCAAAAUGUUCAAAGGACUAUGUAUAUGUUACUUUGUUAUAAACUCUUACUUUUGGUAGAAGGAAGCACCCACCUGCACCAUUGUUUGGGCUGCAGUACAGUGACAGUAGUGUAGCAAUAAAAGAGUUGACCAAGUCUUUUGGACGGGAUUCAUAUGAUUCAUUCACGCAACAUGAUAUCCAAGAGCUUAAUAUGGUUCUUAGUGAAAAGCUGGAAGACAAAAUGAAGGUAUGAUGUUUUAAUGGUAAAUGCUUGUGCUUAUGUUGUUUCAACAAAGUCGCUUUUACUUGAUGUAUGUGAAUAUUUCUAAAACUUCCACAAAACGAUUCUAGCGGUCAUAACUGUAGAGGUUUCUGAAACCUCCGCUAGUUAUAUUGU